GAUAUGCCUUAACUGUUAACUGCUUUAAGUUUUCUCCCAAAAUAUAUUCGUCAACUUUAGUUUUCGUCACUGGCUAAAAUUCUUAACAAACAAGUAUGUCACAUCUCCUAAGUUCCACCACAAUGUUUCUAUUAACAAUCAGAUGUUGUAAUUAAGGCCGGGUCGGAUCGACCCAUGACUCAACCCAGUCCGUCCGUUUAGAUCC
rnacentral:lncRNA from 1 species